GCUUUCAGCCAUACCACCCUGAGCACACCUGAUCUCAUCAGAUCUCAGAAUCAAAGCACAGUUGGGUUAGUACUUGGAUGGGAGACCACCUGGGAAUACUAGCUGCUGUAAGCU
ensembl:rRNA 5S_rRNA 5S ribosomal RNA